rnacentral:lncRNA from 1 species
UUGGGCAUUUCUUUUCGGCAUUUUAUUUAUCCAGUGUGAUGAAAAAUUUACCCAUUCUAAGGUAACUGCUGAUUAUUUUUUGAUCUUACUGGACAAUAUGCUACACGAACUGUGUAAAGUACUACCCCAGAUUGGUUGGACACAUAAUUACCCUCGUGGUGGUAAAAAUUUAACCAAAUAUUUUUUUCCACAGUGUACACCGUACACCAUUCAUGCCGUCUGGUCAUCGAGAAAUAAUCAGAGCAGCUAUUCUCAAGAAUGAAUCUGUUGUCGACUCAGACUUCUACCCCAUAUUGGAUGCGAUCGAUUACCGCCUCGUGGAUGAAUAUCAUAUCACCUCAGAAUCAUUGGCUUGGAAUAGACAUGGGGAGCGUUUCAUGACAAGACUUGUCGGAUGUUUUAUCUGACAAGUCCUGUUUUAUCCCACAAUUACCAUAGUAACAAUCAAGUCAAGGAAAGUUGUCGAGUCUGACAACCUGUCGGACAAAAAUGUUGAUGAAACGCCCCCGGACUUACGGUGCACAUCCCCAUCCACGCGGCCUGGUCAUGAAUAGAGGAACAGGCGGGGAACUCCCACUUCCCUGGAGCAGGCGAGGAACUUCCACUUCCUUGGAGCAGGCGAGGAACUCCCACUUCCUUGGAGCAGACGAGGAACAUCCAGUCCCCUGGAACAGGCGAGGAACUCCCACUGUCCGGGAGCAGGGGAGGAACACCCACUUCCCUGGAGCAGGCGAGUAUCAAGACCCACUUCGCUGAAGCAGGCGCGGAACUCCCACUUCCCUGGAGCAGGCGAGGAAUUCCCACUUCCCUGAAGCUGGCGCGGAACUUCCACUUCCCUGGAGCAGGCGAGGAUCUCCUACGUACUUCCCUGGAGCAGGUGAGGAACUCCCACUUCCCUGGAGCAGACGAGGAACUUCCACUUCCCUGGAGCAGGUUUUCAUCAGGAGGCGAUGGUGGAUCAGGUGGAUUAAUUCGGAGGCAUUGCUGAAGGCAUCCCGCAUGUGGUUACGUUACCUUGUGGUGUUCCGAAACUUUUGAAGGAUGGUGUACCAUGUGGAUACCAUGGUUUGAAAGUUCACCCAAUGCAGUCUCGUCAUGGUGAGGGUGUGAUUGAUCUAGGAUCCGGUUGGUUUUCCGCCUUCCCAAGCCAGAGGACCUUUUCUUUAAUUUUCCAGAGGACGUAAAAUGCUAUACAAUAAGAUUGGUUGGUGCAAAACAGGUUAACCAAAUCGGUUCAUCAGUUCAACUUCUAUGCGGGGAUUUUUUUAAACAUUAUAAGUCGUGUUCUCUGGGACAUUCCAACACUGUAAUGUAAAGUAUCUACUAGUAAUAGUUUAAAGGAGGAGGCUUUAUUUAGUUGAUUAGUUUGUUCUCCAAAUUUGUUUAAGGCUUGUUUUAGAUUUCGGUAAAAACACAACAUAGUCAUGAUGAUUUUAGUGGUGAUCCCGUAAGGAAUGCUAACUUUGUUGAAGAUGAAUCCAUCAAAUUUCGUCUUCAUUAUACUUUAAUGGGCAGUGUUUUGUAAAGCUCGGUCGCUUCAUUUUCUCGCAUAAUUCCUAAAAAAAUGAAUAAUUUCGCGCCCCUAUUAGCCUCCUCAUAGGCAUAAUUGAGGCUCAGUGUUUGCAAAAUUCCUUUAAACAAGUUUAAACAAAUUUGAUCUAAAAGAAAUGUUUCUUGUGGGCGCAUUAAACAGAAAAUGGAGAGAAAAUAUAAAUUAAAAUCUUUAUAAUGCAGAAAGUAUUUGAAUUCCACACUUUUCUUAGAGCUCAGUCGGUUUGCUUCCUCACCGAGUGUUUUUUUUUCCUUUCAGGAUUUUACGGCAUUAAAGCCUUGCUACCGCUUAGGCCUUAACUAUUUGAAUGCCACUAUAUUGUUGAUUGUACUCCUUAUAUUUUUCAUGAUUUUUUUUAUCCUCUAUUGGGUGUAUGUGGCAAUAGCUAACUUUUUUAAAUUAUGCCUCUAAAUGUCGUUUAUUAUUUGCAAUUGUAUUUGACAAGGUGAAUAUUUUCCACUGUUCUUUCCUGUUAUUAUUACUGUUGCUUGAGUCACGAAUAUCUCGUGUAAUCUGUUAAAACUUACUGAAAUGAAAUGAGGUUUGGUUUACAAUCAGGGUACACCAGUCUAUCUCAUUGAACAAAAAAAAAACUGUUUUGCAUUCCUCACCUUUUUUAUGGCGAAAAUCAAGGUGAAAUAAUAGGUAAAUUGCCAAUUUGUCUAUUGCCAACUCGUCCACUCAUCACAUGCUCUACCUUCGUUUAGUCUAAUGCC